GUUUAUUGGUCGUGCAUUGCUGUUUAUAUUGUGUAGAACUCUUAUCCAUGAUACCCCAAGCUUAUAUAAUACGUUGAUAAAAAGAGCUAAUUUUUUUUCUUUCAUUGCCAUGGAAAUCCACAGAAAAUGGGGUCAGGGCUGCUGAUGUCGCUGUUUCUGUGCAGACAACUGCUUGCAAGACAGAGGCUGUACAGACACUUUAUAAUCAUAAUAUGUUUUAUAAUGAACACAAAGCACAAUGGGAAAAAUAACCCACACAAAGUGAUGAGAAGAAUAACCUAUUUGGGAUUUUUUUUGAAGAAUAGAGUAUCAAUGACAUGAAUCCCAGAAGGCACAGGAAGAAAUUGGUGGCAGACACACUGUCCCUUCAGAGACCACUGGCUCUUUUUCCAGAUGUGUAAGAGAAACUGGAGGCAUCUGCUGGAAUCUUCUGGAUAGUGGCUCUGCAUCUGACCUAUGUCAUGUCAUGUCUGCCACUAAAGAUUGUCAAAGCUGUGUUUUCCUCUGCCUGGAACUGCAGUGUCAUGGAUGCAGAGAGACAGAAGCAUUGUAAAUUGUUUUCUGAAAGACCCUUUUCAGCUCCAUCAGUGAUAAUUUUCUGGGUAUGGUUCUCAAAGCCUGUCCUGUGUCUAGAAGACAUUCCAUUAAUACAUGUUUUUGCGAUCAGCCACAUUUGCUU